rnacentral:rRNA from 1 species
UACGGAGGGGGCUAGCGUUGUUCGGAAUUACUGGGCGUAAAGCGCGCGUAGGCGGAUCUGCAAGUCGGGGGUGAAAUCCCGAGGCUCAACCUCGGAACUGCCUUCGAUACUGCGGGUCUCGAGUCCGGGAGAGGUGAGUGGAAUUCCUAGUGUAGAGGUGAAAUUCGUAGAUAUUAGGAAGAACACCAGUGGCGAAGGCGGCUCACUGGCCCGGUACUGACGGCUGAGGCGCGAAAAGCGUGGGGAGCAACAGG